AUUGGUUUGAAGGACACAAAGUAUUGAUCCUGGGUGUGUCUGUGAGGGUGUUGCCUCAAGGAGACUAACAUUUGAGUCAGUGGGCUGGGAAAGGCAGACCCACCCUUAAUCUGGGUGGGUACCAUCUAAUCAGCUGCCAGUGAGGCCAGAAUAUAAGCAGGCAGAAAACUGAAAAGAGAGACUGGCCUAGCCUCCCAGCCUACAUCUUCUCCCAUGCUGGAUGCUUCCUGCCCUUGAACAUCCAACCCCAGGUUCUUCAGUUUUGGAACUUGGACUGGCUCUCCUUGCUUGUCAGCCUGCAGAUGGCCUAUCAUGGGACCUUGUGAUUGUAUAUUUGCAGAGUAUGAAAGGAAAUAUGCACAAGGAUAUUCAUCAUGGCAUAAAGAGAGUGGAAAAUUGGAAGUAAUCCAAAUGGAUUUCAAUAAAGGAAUGAUGACCCAUAAAUAAAACGUAAGUGAUAUGCUGCAUAUGGAUUACACAUUGUUGAGGGAAAGGGCAGGUUAUUGCAUAGCAUGUGUAGAAUGGUCUUAUUUAUGGAAAUAAUAUGCAUGUGUAUCUAAGCAGAGAAUGUGUCUAGGCACAGAAAGACAGUCACCAAAUGUUAACAGUUACUGUUGAUUGGUCGAAUUUGGGAUGUUUUUCUCCUUUUUUUUUAUACUUUCUAAUUUGUUUGAAUUUUUAGUGAGCUUGUUGUCAUUUUAACAAAAUAAUAGUAUUUUCAAGAAUGGAGGGAUUAUUAUAGAGAAAUGUAAGGAAGGCAGAGUCAUAAUUGGCAAGUAAAAGAAACUCGAGAAGGGCAGAUCCAAGACAGCUAAAUAGGAACAGCUCUGGAGGGCAGUUCCCAAUGAGAACAACACAGAGGGUGAGUGAACAUUGCAUUUCCAAACGAGUUAUUACUGCCCACAGACCAGGAGAUUCCCAGGCUGAAAAGCGCCAAGAGUUUCCAGCAUAGCUCUUUCAGCCGGUGCAGCAGGUCUCUGCACAAAAACUCACACAAAUCUGGGUAACCAUUUCAACUGACACCUGGAAUGCCCAGGAGAAAGAGCUGCCCAUUCAACUGAAAAAAAGGGGGCAGAUGGGCUGGGCAUGGUGGCUCAUGUCUGUAAUCCCAGCACUUUGGGAGGCCGAGGUGGGUGGAUCACAAGUCAAGAGAUCGAGACCAUCCUGGUCAAUGUGGUGAAACCCUAUCUCUAUUAAAAAUACAAAAAAUUAGCUGGGCAUGGUGUCGUGUGCCUGUAAUCCCAGCUACUCAGGAGGCUGAGGCCGGAGAAUUGCCUGAACCCAGGAGGCAGAGGUUGCGGUGAGAGGAGAUCUCACCAUUGCACUCCAGUCUGGGUAACAAGAGCGAACUCCCUCUCAAAAGAAAGGGAGGCAGAAACAGGGAGCCAGGUGAUUUGGCUCAGUGGGUUCCAUCCCCCCACCAAGACCAGCAAUCUGAAAUACUCUGGAUUGACAGUUUUGCAGCAAGCGCAGCUGGACCAGGGACAGUCCAGCUGUGUGAGGGGAAGGGCGUCCACCAUUACCAAGGCAAUCUGACACUACGGAAGCAGCCUGCCAUUUCCAAGGCAGUCUGCCAUUACUGAGGCAGUCUGCCGUUACUGAGGCAGUUCUAACUAUACCUCUGUAAACAAAACCACAAGGAAGUUCACAGAACAGCUGGG
ensembl:lncRNA